UUAGCGGCGGACGGGUGAGUAACACGUGGGCAACCUGCCUAUAAGACUGGGAUAACUUCGGGAAACCGGAGCUAAUACCGGAUACGUUCUUUUCUCGCAUGAGAGAAGAUGGAAAGACGGUUUACGCUGUCACUUAUAGAUGGGCCCGCGGCGCAUUAGCUAGUUGGUGAGGUAAUGGCUCACCAAGGCGACGAUGCGUAGCCGACCUGAGAGGGUGAUCGGCCACACUGGGACUGAGACACGGCCCAGACUCCUACGGGAGGCAGCAGUAGGGAAUCUUCCGCAAUGGACGAAAGUCUGACGGAGCAACGCCGCGUGAACGAUGAAGGCCUUCGGGUCGUAAAGUUCUGUUGUUAGGGAAGAACAAGUACCAGAGUAACUGCUGGUACCUUGACGGUACCUAACCAGAAAGCCACGGCUAACUACGUGCCAGCAGCCGCGGUAAUACGUAGGUGGCAAGCGUUGUCCGGAAUUAUUGGGCGUAAAGCGCGCGCAGGUGGUUUCUUAAGUCUGAUGUGAAAGCCCACGGCUCAACCGUGGAGGGUCAUUGGAAACUGGGGAACUUGAGUGCAGAAGAGGAAAGUGGAAUUCCAAGUGUAGCGGUGAAAUGCGUAGAGAUUUGGAGGAACACCAGUGGCGAAGGCGACUUUCUGGUCUGUAACUGACACUGAGGCGCGAAAGCGUGGGGAGCGAACAGGAUUAGAUACCCUGGUAGUCCACGCCGUAAACGAUGAGUGCUAAGUGUUAGAGGGUUUCCGCCCUUUAGUGCUGCAGCUAACGCAUUAAGC
rnacentral:rRNA from 1 species